rnacentral:other from 1 species
UCCGUUCUAUGCCGUACGUGCUGGGCGCCAGUGUUUGGGCCGAUGCCGUUUGAACGGGAAGCUGCGGCCUUCACUUUGGGGCAAGACGCCAUGGGCGUCGUGCGAUGAAGUGCAGCCAGGCUACCCACCUGUCCAUGCAGGUUCAAACGACGCGCCACGACGGCGGUGGUGGUUGGCG